rnacentral:rRNA from 1 species
CCUACGGGAGGCAGCAGUGGGGAAUAUUGGACAAUGGGCGCAAGCCUGAUCCAGCCAUGCCGCGUGAGUGAUGAAGGCCCUAGGGUUGUAAAGCUCUUUCACCGGUGAAGAUAAUGACGGUAACCGGAGAAGAAGCCCCGGCUAACUUCGUGCCAGCAGCCGCGGUAAUACGAAGGGGGCUAGCGUUGUUCGGAUUUACUGGGCGUAAAGCGCACGUAGGCGGACUUUUAAGUCAGGGGUGAAAUCCCGGGGCUAAACCCCGAAACUGCCUUUGAUACUGGAAGUCUGGAGUAUGGUAGAGGUGAGUGAAAUUCCGAGUGUAGAGGUAAAAUUCGUAGAUAUUCGGAGGAACCCCAGUGGCGAGGGCGGCUCACUGGACCAUUACUGACGCUGAGGUGCGAAAGCGUGGGGAGCAAACAGGAUUAGAUCCCCCUGUAGU